rnacentral:rRNA from 1 species
AUGAACGCUGGCGGCGUGCCUAAUACAUGCAAGUCGAGCGAACGGACGAGAAGCUUGCUUCUCUGAUGUUAGCGGCGGACGGGUGAGUAACACGUGGAUAACCUACCUAUAAGACUGGGAUAACUUCGGGAAACCGGAGCUAAUACCGGAUAAUAUUUUGAACCGCAUGGUUCAAAAGUGAAAGACGGUCUUGCUGUCACUUAUAGAUGGAUCCGCGCUGCAUUAGCUAGUUGGUAAGGUAACGGCUUACCAAGGCAACGAUGCAUAGCCGACCUGAGAGGGUGAUCGGCCACACUGGAACUGAGACACGGUCCAGACUCCUACGGGAGGCAGCAGUAGGGAAUCUUCCGCAAUGGGCGAAAGCCUGACGGAGCAACGCCGCGUGAGUGAUGAAGGUCUUCGGAUCGUAAAACUCUGUUAUUAGGGAAGAACAUAUGUGUAAGUAACUGUGCACAUCUUGACGGUACCUAAGCAGAAAGCCACGGCUAACUACGU